rnacentral:lncRNA from 1 species
GUCUUGAGACAGGGUCUCACUCUGUCACCAAGGCUAGAGUGCAGUGGUGAGAUCAGAGCUCACUGCAGCUUCCACUUCCUGGGCUCAAGCGAUCCUCCUAUUUCAGCCUCCAGAGUAGCUGGGACUAUACGAAUGUUUUACCGCACCCAGUUCAUUUUCUAAUUUUUUGUAGAGAUGAGGUUUCACUGUGUUGCUCAGGCUGGUCUUGAACUCCUGGCCUCACGGAAUCCUCCUGCCUUAGUCUCCCAGUGGGCUGGGAUUAUAGGUAUGAGCCACCUCACCUGACCUGCGACGAUUUUUCAAUGAUGUAAUUUCUCUUUUACAGAGCCACCUAAGCUGAAGAUUCCCUUGAGAACAAGUACUGUCCCUGGUUUCCCAGUGCUGGAAUAUAGAAAAUGGAUGGACAAGUAAAUCCCACUCAGCACCCAUAGUCCAGGCGUGGGGACCUCAACACACCUGAGCCCCAGACAUCACCUUUCAUUGCGAGUAGCUCUGAGAUGACACUUCUGCUGUUCCCAAUUCCAGCAUUAAUUGGAUUAGAUAGUUAUUUUAUGAAGAAUUUUCAUAUGCCACAAUCCUGACCAUAUCUUCAAGUGAACAGAAAAAUUCUAUUAAAAAGUCAACCUUCUGUCUCACUCUGUUGCCCAGACUGGAGUGCAGUGGUGCAAUUAUGGCUCACUGCAGCCUCAACCUCCUGGGCUCAAGCAAUCCUCCUGCCUCAGCCUCACAAGUAGCUGGGACUACAGGUGCUUGUCACCACACCUCACUAAUUUUCCCAUUUGUGUUAUAUGUGGAUUCCACAGGACUGACUUCGAAAACUUGAGUAUGCGUGGAUUUUGGUAUACACAGAAAUGGGAGAGCUGGAACUAAUCCCCCCAUAUACCAAGGGACAAAUUGUAUCUGUUUUUACAAUUAUACAGUAGGAGACAUUAUGUUCCAUGACAAUGGUAAUUUUUAACGACAGUUUUUAAUUGAGUGAAAUUACCAUAAAAAUAAUAAUAGUAGCAGCUAAUAUUUACUGAGCUGUUACUAGGUGCCUAUAAAUAGCAUAGAUUUUUAAAUUCUCCAUAAUUCUUCCUUAUUUCACUUAACCACUCUAUCUUAAAUUACUCAUGCUUGCCUCAGUAGCACACAUACUUAAGUUGGAACAAUAGAGAGAUUGGCACGGCCUCUGUGGAAGAAUGACAUGCAAAUUUGUGAAGCAUUCCAUAUUUUUUUAAAAAAAGAAAAAAAAAUUACUCCCAGAUUUUCACUGUGUUUGUGCAUAUGACCUUUUGUUUAGGUUGAAUUAUAUCCAAAGGUGAAAUUUCGAGAAGUGAGAUUACUGUGAGUCACAGGGCAUGAGCAUUCUUAUUACCCUCGAUGUAAAUUGCAAAGCUUUCAGGCAUGGUGGCUGUCAGCCUGUAAUUCCAGCACUUUGGGAGGCUGAGGUGGGAGGAUUGCUUGAGGCCAGGAGUUGGAGGAGGCAGUAUAAUGAGUCACUGUCUGUAUGAUUUAAAAAAAAUUUCCAAGCUUUAUGCUGGAAGGCUUAUAUACAUUUUAAACACCACUAAUACUACAAGAAAAUGGCCAUUUCACUGCACCUUCGCCCACACAGGUAUUAUAAUUUAACAAGUUAUUUUCUGUGUGAUAAAUGAAAGACCUCAUAUUAUUACUUUGUCACCCAUUCUUUUUUCUUUUUUGAGACACAGUCUCGCUCUGUUGACCAGGCUGGAGUGCAGUGGUGUGAUCUCGGCUCACUGCAACCUGUGCCAUGCCUGGGGUAUCUGUGUCUUUUCCAUUUAUUUAUAGAGUUACUUUGUCUUUUACUAAUUCAAUGAUCUGUUUAAUCUUUUAUUAAAUUAUAAAAAUAAUAAAUACUUUUAAAUAAGUGAAAAAUGUCCUUCACUCUUUAGACCCAUAAUCUUAUCUCAGGAAAUAAUUGCAGUUGAGAAAAUGGGCCAUAUCCUUCAAGAUACGUACAUGGUGAUUGAACAUCACUUCAUAUUUUCAUAUUUCGUGGACAUUUGUGCCAAUACCUAUUGAUCUAUCUUAAUCCUUUUCAUGGUUGCAUAAUAUUUUAUUAUAUGGAUGUGUCACAAUUUACCAGUACCAGUCAACUGCUGGAGGCAUUUAGGCUCCUUCUAAUAUUUGCUUUGAGCUCUUUAUAUAAUUAAAAAUUAACCCCCUCAGCCAGGUGUGGCAGCUCACACCUUUAAUCCCAGCAUUUUGGAAGGCUGAGGUGAGAGAACUGCCUGAGUGUAGGAGAUCACCACCAACCUGGUCAACAUAGUGACACUUUGUCUCUACUAAAAAUUAAAAAAAAAAAAAUGAGCUACACGUUGCAGUGCACACCUGUAGUCCGAGCUACUGGGGAGGCUAAGACUGGAGGAUCACUUGAGUCUAGAAGGUUGAGGCUGCAGUAAGCUAUGAUCACACCAUUGCACUUUAGCUUUGCUAAGAGCAAGACUGCACUUCUUAAACAAAAUAAAAAUUAGAUGGGAAUAUUGCUCAAGCCCUGGAGGUUGAGGCUGCAGUUAACUGUGAUUGCAGCACUGCAGUCCAGCCUAGGUGAUAGAGCAAGACCCUUUCUCUAAAAAUAAAAUAAAAUAAAAAUUAACCUUCUAUCAUAUUUCCCAGUAACACCUUCCCUCCUACAUUUCUCCUAGAAGCCCUUAAAUUUUGUUUUUCACAUAUCGUUUAAAACUUUUAAGCGCUGAUGUCUGUCUGUGUCAUCCCUCUUUUUUUUUUUUUUUUAAAUGUCUUUUUGUCACUUCUAGCUGGACCUACCAUGAAAGACUUCUGAAUCCAGGAAGAGAAACUGACUGGGCAACAUGUUAUUCAGAUGGGGUCUUCUUAUGUUGCCCAGGUUGGUCUCAAAUUCCUAGGCUCAAGUGAUUCCGCCCACCUCUGCCUCCCAAAGUGCUGGGAUUACGGGCAUGAGCCAGCGCAUCUGGCCACCUUAUUUUCUAUUACUGGCUCAAUGUAAUGGCUCCAUCUCAGGAACAGCCAAUGAAAGAGAUGCACAGGACAAGAGAUGGGACCUCAGUAUGUUGCCAUGGCUGACCUUGAACUCCU